rnacentral:rRNA from 1 species
UACGGGGGGUGCGAGCGUUGUCCGGAAUCACUGGGCGUAAAGAGCUCGUAGGUGGUUCGGUAAGUCGGAUGUGAAAUCUCCAGGCUCAACCUGGAGGGGUCAUUCGAUACUGCCGUGACUAGAGGUCGGUAGGGGAGUGUGGAAUUCCUGGUGGAGCGGUGAAAUGCGCAGAUAUCAGGAAGAACACCGGUGGCGAAGGCGGGUCUCUGGGCAGUAACUGACGCUGAGGAGCGAAAGCGUGGGGAGCGAACAGG